rnacentral:rRNA from 1 species
UACGUAGGUGGCAAGCGUUUGUCCGGAAUUAUUGGGCGUAAAGCGCACGUAGGCGGUUCGUUAAGUCGGAUGUGAAAGCCCUCGGCUCAACUGAGGAAGUGCACCCGAAACUGGCGAGCUUGAGUACGAAAGAGGAUCGCGGAAUUCCCGGUGUAGAGGUGAAAUUCGUAGAUAUCGGGAGGAACACCGGUGGCGAAGGCGGCGAUCUGGGUCGAUACUGACGCUGAGGUGCGAAAGCGUGGGGAGCAAACAGG